CGCGGGAUGGAGCAGUCUGGUAGCUCGUCGGGCUCAUAACCCGAAGGUCAUAGGUUAAAAGCCUGUUCCCGCAG
rnacentral:tRNA from 1 species